AACAAAUCCCCAGAUUCCAUAGCAGCUCCUGAAAAAAUAGAAAAAGCGGAGAAAGGGAAGGAAGAAGAAAGCUAAAGCCCUAGGAAUCUUCCUCUCCCUCUCCUUCUCCUUCGUCUUCCCACUGCGAGGGAGAGCGGGUGUGACCGGGACUCCAUCGAAAUUGACCUCUCCGUCUCCUGUCUGCUCUCCUGCGAACCCCAAUUGCACAGAGAUCCAACCUUUCCGGUGGGCUAUCUUUUAGAAUGUUCUGAUAAGGGAAUUCGUUUCUCGGUGAUUCUAAGGUUGGAUCUUCGAUCCUUCUGGUGAUUCCUAGAAGCAGGCACUGCUCAUUUCUUCAUCUUGUACUUGCGAUUGUUGGGUUUUCGCGAAUUCUUCAGGUUUUUGAUUGUGGGUCUGGUUUUGAUCGGAUAAUAUCUGUGGCGAAUUCUUGAAGAGAGUAUUGACAAUUCUUGGAUUCGCCGUUCGGACAGUGAAUGCUAGUGGGUUUUUUUCUUGGAUAGGAUUGAUGUGGGAAUUAUUAUGAUCGAGGGGCUUUUGCUUCAUUGAGUCUCUGCGGCAUCUGUUGAUGUCUCUUGAAGUCGUGGGAGAGGACUGGCUUGUGAACAUUCCACGCUCGCUUUCGAGUGUUCUCAGGCCAUUGCGAUCUUUGUUGUUCGAGCAGAAAGUCUUCUCGUUCUGCAUCCCAAGAGACAGAUGGGAUAAGGAGUUCUUUAAGCUGCAGGGCGGAUAGAUUUGGUGGACACUGCAAGGGUUUCUGGAACUCUUAAGUUGAGGAUUUUAGUUUUCAGUUGCGGGUGGGUUUGGUUCGAGAUGGGCUCCUCUCAGGGUUCCACACUAUCGACCAAUGUGGUCGGGAUUGUUGAUGGAUCACCGGCUUGCGAAGAAGUCACUUACAUAGAUAGCCUGCCUGUUUAUGUUAAGGAGUUGAUUGCUGGUGGGGCUGCUGGAGGCUUUGCUAAGACCGCUGUUGCCCCUCUCGAGCGGACAAAGAUAUUGUUGCAGACAAGAACUGAAGGGUUCCAAUCUCUUGGGGUAUGGAAAUCCUUGCGGAAGCUGCUUAAGCAUGAAGGAUUUUUCGGCUUUUACAAGGGAAAUGGGGCUAGCGUUUUGAGAAUUGUUCCUUAUGCAGCCCUGCAUUUCAUGACCUAUGAGCAGUAUCGUUGCUGGAUAUUGAAUAAUUACCCCAUUGUGGGGUCAGGACCCAUUGUAGAUCUUCUUGCUGGAUCUGCAGCUGGAGGAACAGCUGUAUUGUGCACGUACCCGCUAGAUCUAGCUCGAACAAAGCUUGCUUACCAGGUAAAAGACUCAAAAUUGAAUAUCAGGGCUGGUGUGACUAGCAUUUCUACCCAACCUGCUUACAAUGGUAUAAGGGAUGUGCUCAAGAGCGUCUAUAGGGAAGGCGGAAUGCGUGGAUUAUAUCGAGGUGUAGGUCCAACUCUCACAGGGAUCCUGCCCUAUGCUGGACUAAAGUUCUACAUAUAUGAAGAGCUUAAAACACGUGUACCUGAAGAGCAUCAGCAGUCCAUUGUGAUGCGUCUCUCAUGUGGGGCCUUGGCUGGGCUAUUUGGGCAGACGUUCACAUACCCAUUAGAUGUUGUCAGAAGACAGAUGCAGGUCGAAAGUCUGCAGCCUGCGGCUGAGGGACAAGCUCGGUACAGGAACACGUGGGAUGGGCUCACUACGAUUGUCCGAAACCAGGGAUGGAGACAGUUAUUUGCUGGUCUAAGCAUUAACUACAUUAAGGUUGAAACUGAUAAAACAGUUAGCUGCUCUGUUUGGAGAUGAUGCUUAAUAAGCCCACUGUAUUUGAGAGUCAAUUUUCUGAAAGAUGCUGUUUCUCACAAUAGCAAGAUAAUAUUGGCCCGUGUAACAAUUUACUCCUUCAAGGUGCCCUGCCAUAUUGUGCCUUCGGUAGCGAUUGGCUUCACAGCAUAUGACAUGAUGAAGGGUUGGCUUCGGAUUCCCCCUCGACAGAAAUCUCAGUCUGUUUCCACCUCGUAAUUCUUCCAGCCAUGGGGAUUAAGAGCAGGUCUUUUGCUGAUUAGUGCUAUCUCAUUAUGACACUUAUAUCUUAAAUGGAGUUCCUCUUGUUGAGUAUGUGCUGAACCCGUAUGAUUCUCGAUGUAAAACUCUAUUCCUGAGAUCGAGAAAUGGGAAUUCUGCUAUUGCCUGCUGAUACA